AGGGAAUCUUCCACAAUGGACGAAAGUCUGAUGGAGCAACGCCGCGUGAGUGAUGAAGGUUUUCGGAUCGUAAAACUCUGUUGUAAGGGAAGAACCAGUACGUCAGGCAAUGGACGUACCUUGACGGUACCUUAUUAGAAAGCCACGGCUAACUACGUGCCAGCAGCCGCGGUAAUACGUAGGUGGCAAGCGUUGUCCGGAAUUAUUGGGCGUAAAGCGCGCGCAGGUGGUUUCUUAAGUCUGAUGUGAAAGCCCACGGCUUAACCGUGGAGGGGCAUAGGAGGUGGGGGGGAUAGGGUGAAGGAGAGGGAAGGAGAAUGGAGAGGGAAGCGGUGAAAUGCGCAGAGAGUGGGGGGAACGCGAGAGGCGAGGGCGACUAAAUGGUCUGAAACUGACGCGUAGGCGCGAUGGGAUGGGGCGCAAACA
rnacentral:rRNA from 1 species